UACGUAGGGUGCGAGCGUUAAUCGGAAUUACUGGGCGUAAAGCGUGCGCAGGCGGUUUUGUAAGCCAGAUGUGAAAUCCCCGGGCUUAACCUGGGAAUGGCAUUUGGGACUGCAAGGCUUGAGUGCGGCAGAGGAGACUGGAAUUCCCGGUGUAGCAGUGAAAUGCGUAGAUAUCGGGAGGAAUACCGAUGGCGAAGGCAGCCCCCUGGGUUAACACUGACGCUCAUGCACGAAAGCGUGGGGAGCAAACAGG
rnacentral:rRNA from 1 species